GGCCUGGUAGCUCAGUUUGUUAGAGCAUCAUCCUGAUGCACCGAGGUUCUGGGUUCAAUCCCCAGUCAGGGCA
rnacentral:tRNA from 1 species